rnacentral:rRNA from 1 species
UACGUAGGGUGCAAGCGUUAAUCGGAAUUACUGGGCGUAAAGCGUGCGCAGGCGGUUGUGCAAGACAGAUGUGAAAUCCCCGGGCUCAACCUGGGAAUGGCAUUUGUGACUGCACGGCUAGAGUGUGUCAGAGGGGGGUAGAAUUCCACGUGUAGCAGUGAAAUGCGUAGAUAUGUGGAGGAAUACCGAUGGCGAAGGCAGGUCUCUGGGCUGACACUGACGCUCAUGCACGAAAGCGUGGGGAGCAAACAGG